rnacentral:rRNA from 1 species
GCCAACGUUAAUAGCACGUUGAAUGCAUCAGUUUCCAAUCGAUUAGUGAAGUUAAGCAACGUUUCUCGUGCUUGGUAUCCGAAUGGGUGAUCGACCAUGUGGAUAAUCACAUGUUUGCUGGCU